AUGAACGCUGGCGGCGUGCUUAACACAUGCAAGUCGAACGGUGAAGCCAAGCUUGCUUGGUGGAUCAGUGGCGAACGGGUGAGUAACACGUGAGCAACCUGCCCUGGACUCUGGGAUAAGCGCUGGAAACGGCGUCUAAUACUGGAUAUGAGCCUCUUCCGCAUGGUGGGGGUUGGAAAGAUUUUUUGGUCUGGGAUGGGCUCGCGGCCUAUCAGCUUGUUGGUGAGGUAAUGGCUCACCAAGGCGUCGACGGGUAGCCGGCCUGAGAGGGUGACCGGCCACACUGGGACUGAGACACGGCCCAGACUCCUACGGGAGGCAGCAGUGGGGAAUAUUGCACAAUGGGCGAAAGCCUGAUGCAGCAACGCCGCGUGAGGGAUGACGGCCUUCGGGUUGUAAACCUCUUUUAGCAGGGAAGAAGCGAAAGUGACGGUACCUGCAGAAAAAGCGCCGGCUAACUACGUG
rnacentral:rRNA from 1 species